GGACGGUCCCAGGCUGAUCCCCGGACGAGCAAUCCUGGAACCAGUCCCGGCCUCAGCGCUGACUCCGGCAUUCCCACAUUCCCGGAUUCCUGGUAUUCCCGGAUUCCUGGUAUUCCCGGAUUCCUGGUAUUCCCGCAUUCCCGGCAUUCCCGGAUUCCUGGUAUUCCCGGAUUCCCGCAUUCCCAUAUUCCGGCAUUCCCGGAUUCCCGGAUUCCUGGUAUUCCUGGAUUCCCGGAUUCCUGGUAUUCCCGCAUUCCCACAUUCCCGCAUUCCCGCAUUCCCGCAUUCCUGGAUUCCUGCAUUCCCGCAUUCCCGCAUUCCUGGAUUCCUGGUAUUCCCGCGUUCCCGCAUUCCCGGAUUCCCACAUUCCCGCAUUCCUGGAUUCCCACAUUCCCGCAUUCCCGGAUCCCCGCAUUCCCGCAUUCCCGGAUUCCCCCAUUCCCACAUUCCCACAUUCCCGCAUUCCCGGAUUCCCGGAUUCCCAUGUUCCCGGAUUCCCGGAUUCCUGGCAUUCCCACAUUCCCGGAUCCCCCCAUUCCCGCAUUCCCGGAUUCCCGGAUUCCCAGAUUCCUGGCAUUCCCGGAUUCCCGGAUCCCCGCGUUCCCACGUUCCCGCAUUCCCACAUUCCCGCAUUCCCGCAUUCCCCCAUUCCCGCAUUCCCGGAUUCCUGGCAUUCCCGCAUUCCCACAUUCCCGCGUUCCCGCAUUCCCGGAUUCCCAGAUUCCUGGCAUUCCCGCAUUCCCACAUUCCCACAUUCCCGCGUUCCCGGAGUCAGCAGGAGCUGGCCUGCAGGCUGGCCUCGCUCAGCAGGGAGGCGAUGCCGGCGGAUCCGAGUUCCUCAUCCGAGCUCAGCCGCUCGUCCCGCAGCGCCGAGUCCACGGCGCGGCGCCUGCC
rnacentral:lncRNA from 1 species